AAAGAUGGCGGUGACUGGUUCAGUUUGCUUCAGGAUCCACAGCAGGCUUUACCUGUCAUUGAAGGGUCAACGUGCAGGACUUUGUGAACGAAUAUCAAGUUUCAGAUUUUAUUCUGGAAGUACAACCCUCCCAAAAGUUGAAGGAACUGAUGUAACAAGGAUUGAAGAAGUGGUUAUUCCAAGAAAGAAAUCUUGGGAUAAAGUGGCCGUUCUUCAGGCACUUGCUUCCACAGUAAACAGGGACACCACAGCUGCACCUUAUGCAUUUCAAGAUGAUCCCUACCUUAUUCCAGCAUCUUCUGUGGAAUCUUGUUCAUUUUUACUGGCAAAGAAGUCUGGGGAGAAUGCAGCAAAGUUUAUUAUUAAUUCACAUCCCAAAUAUUUUCAAAAGGACAUAGCUGAACCACAUAUACCGUGUUUAAUGCCUGAGUGCUUUGAACCUCAGAUCGAAGAAGUAAGUGAAGCUGCCCUAAAGGAACGAAUCAAGCUCAAAAAAGUCAAAUCCUCUGUGGACCUGUUUGAUCAGCUUUUGCAAGCAGGAACCACUGUGUCUCUUGAAACAACAAAUAAUCUCUUGGAUUUACUGUGUUACUAUGAUGACCACGAGCCCUCCACUGAUUAUCCUUUUCAGCAAACUGAACCGUCAGAGGAAUUGGAAGAGGAAAGUAACAAGAAAUUUAGGAAGAAGGCUGGUCAUUAGAUUGGAGCUACAUGGAGCGCAAAAAAACAAUACUGAGAGAAUCUUUACAUUGAUGCCAUAGAAAAAUUCACAUUCCUACUGCACAGUGAUCCGAGGGAUGGUGAAGCAUCGAGCUUAUGAGCCGGCAUUAAACUUGUACACUGAAUUAUUAAACAACAGACUCCAUGCUGAUGUAUACAUUCAGUGCAUUGAUUGAAGCAACAAUGUUGGGGCUGAAUGCGGGUUUUGAGGAAAAAUGGAAUAAAACACUGGAAGUACUGAAACAAAUGGUUGCACAGAAGGUGAAACCAAAUCUACAGACUUUUAAUACCAUUUUGAAAUGUCUCCGAAGAUUUCAUGUACUUGCAAGAUUGCCAGCAAUACAGUCUUUCCGAGAAACGAAAGCCAUUGGAAUAGAACCCUCGCUUGCAACAUAUCACCAUAUUAUUCAGCUAUUUUAUCAACAUGAAAACAUUUCAAAAGGAUCAUCCUUGAUCAUCUAUGAUAUAAUGAAUGAAUUAAUGGGAAAGAAAUUUUCUCCAAAGGAUCUGGAUGAUGGUAUGUUUUUUCAGUCAGCCAUGAGAGUUUGCUCAUCUCUCAGAGAUCUGGAACUUGCUUACCAAGUACAUGGCCUUUUAAACACUGGAGAUAACCGGAAAUUUAUGGGACCUGAUUAUCGCCGUCAUUUCUAUUAUUCCAAGUUCUUCACUUUAAUUUGUCUAAUGGAACGAAUUGAUGUCACCUUGAAGUGGUAUAAGGACCUGAUACCUUCAGUUUUCUUUCCCCACUCCCAAACAUUGGUAGAUCUUCUCCAAGCAUUGGAUGUGGCCAAUCGGCUAGAAGUGAUUCCUCGGAUUUGGAAAGAUAGUAAAGAAUGUGGUCAUACUUUCCACAAUGACCUGAAGGAAGAGAUUCUGAUUCUUAUGGCAAGGGAUAAGCAUCCACCAGAGCUUCUGGAGGAGUUUGCUGACUGUGCCGCUGACAUCAAAUCUGCUUAUGAAAGCCAAGAUGGCAGACAGACUGCUCCAGAUUGGCCAGCCAUCCCUCUCAACUGUAUAGCUGUCCUCUUUUUAAGGGCUGGGAGAACCCAUGAAGCAUGGAAAAUGUUGGGGCUUUUCAGGAAGCAUAAUAAGAUCCUUAGAAAUGAGUUGCUGAAUGAGUUCAUGGACAGUGCAAAAGUGUCCAAUAGCCCUGCCCAGGCCAUUGAAGUGGUAAAACUGGCGAGUGCUUUCAGCUUACCUAUUUGCGAGAGCCUUUUCCAAAGAGUAAUGACUGACUUUGCCAUCAGCCAGGAACAAAAGGAAGCCCUAGAAAACCUAACUGCAUGGACCAGUGACAGUGAUAGUGACAGCAGCAGUGACAGCGACAGUGACAUCAAUGAAGGCAAAUGAAAGUGGGAUAUUCAGUAGUAAUGAUGACAUCACCGUAGCUGCUGGACUCACACUUGAAAAGAUACUAAUAUUUAACAAUGUUUCAAAGAAAUAGAGGAUGCAGAUUUGGUGAAUUUUGGUACUGUGAAACAGUGGACAGAUGCUACGUUAUAAUUUGCUACUAGCCAAACCACCUAUUAAGUGUAGCAUUCCAGGCUUACCAUGUAAGCUGCAGCUCUUGUGGUCAGGAUAAGAUCUGUAUAUCUGAAGUGCUGGUAGGCUGACC